UGGGGAAUCUUCCGCAAUGGGCGAAAGCCUGACGGAGCAACGCCGCGUGAGUGAAGACGGCCUUCGGGUUGUAAAACUCUGUUGUUAGGGAAGAAAAAAUGUAUAGUAACUAUAUACAAAAGAGACGGUACCUAACCAGAAAGCCACGGCUAACUACGUGCCAGCAGCCGCGGUAAUACGUAGGUGGCAAGCGUUGUCCGGAAUUAUUGGGCGUAAAGCGCGCGCAGGUGGUUUAGAAAGUCUGAUGUGAAAGCCCACGGCUCAACCGUGGAGGGUCAUUGGAAACUAAUAAACUUGAGUGCAGGAGAGAAAAGUGGAAUUCCUAGUGUAGCGAUGAAAUGCGUAGAGAUUAGGAGGAACACCGGUGGCGAAAGCGGCUUUUUGGCCUGCAACUGACACUGAGGCGCGAAAGCGUGGGGAGCAAACAGG
rnacentral:rRNA from 1 species